CGGCAACAGCUCAAAUUUGAAAUCUGGCCCUCUCAGGGUCCGAGUUGUAAUUUGGAGAGGAUGCUUCGGCGUUUACGCCGCCCAAAGUUCCUUGGAACGGGACGUCAUAGAGGGUGAGAGCCCCGUGUCUGGGCGGAUGCAUUCACCAUGUGAAGCUCCUUCGAC
rnacentral:rRNA from 1 species